GUCAUCCCCAUGCCGGCCAGCUACUAGCUGGAGCUCCUGGAACUAGAAGGACAGGGGGAAAAUCAGAGACCUUGACUCAGGCCUGGUGGAGCUCAGCCUGGCAGACCGUGCCUUUGCCUUCAGAGUGUGACAGAGGUGGGUAGGGGUCCCCAACUUCACCAGGCCUAUCAACAGCCCCCCACUCAAACAUCUAUCUGUUCAUGGGAUUUAUUUGUUUGUCUUAAGCACAGUUCUCUCAAUGGUGGUUACAUUUGGCCAUAAGGACUGUUGAAAGUCUUCUCCUCUCCAUACUGCAACCAUAUAACAUACAACUCCAACUAUGACACUGCUCUACUGAUAGCCCUUCAAAGUCAAGGUCAAAUUCAAACCAUGAGCAUGGCAUCAAGGUGCUUUGAGAUUUGCAUCCACCAGUCUCUCCAGACUCAUCUUUCGCUACCCCUGCCCAUCUGCCUCUACACUUGUGCUGAACUGUUCCCUAAAUGUCCCUGUGCUCUCAAGUCUCUGAGACUUUGCAUGAGGCUCUACCUCCACCUGGAAAACCCUUUCUCAUCCAUUUUCCCUUUUUCCCUAGCUAGUUCCAACUCAGCCAAAGCAGAUCAGCUUCCUCCGGAAGGCCUUCCUUGAUCUUCCUUGAUUGGGUGUACUUCUGGUUCCGUAGUUCCUACCACUCCAGUUCAUAGAUCUUACCACACUGUACUAUAAGCACACCUUUCUGUGUCUUUCCCAUCAGACUUAGCAUGACUGGAUGACAGGGACCUGUAUUCUCUGUGACUUCCUGCCCUUCAUAGCUCAGCUGGGCCCUGGGCUACUGGAACUGUUUCUGGGAAUGGAGGAACAUUGUGUGUGUGUGUGUGUGUGUGUGUGUGUGUGUGCAUGCGCGCGCGUGUGUGUUGGUAUAUUCUGCUAGUCUAACACCACUAGCCAUGAAUUUGAGGUCAUCUACUAGUUUGGGAUCACUCCCGCCUUGAUGUCAUCCACUGAACAGUCAAUAGAGAAUAUUUUAGUUCUACCCCAGAAUCUGGCUUAUGAGGAACUUGGAAAAGUGUGACACUCAGAACUCUGGUGACUGCACACUGCUUCUCUCUGUGUAACUGGUGCUUGGCCUUAUGGGUUGUCAUAUCUGACCCUAACAAGGCCCUAGAGUCAGGAUUCCUCUUAAAAAUGCCAGGUCCCCUGGAAGACAAAGAGGCUUCUCAGUUCCUGUGUUUUAUCUUUGGUACUAAUCUUGGGAUGAUAAACACUGGGGCAGGACAGGUGGUCUUUCCCUGCUUCUCUGCAAGUCUAUGUGAGGAGGAUGGCCCUCCCUACAAACGGACAGGGAGGGAGGCACUAAUUCCCUAAGUUCUGACACCAAGCAGGCUCCUUCUGAAGCAAACAGACCAGUGUCCUUCUCCACUCUGUUCCUGGCCCAUCCUAAGUCGUCACUAUAAAUGCUUCUUAACAGAGUCAUGUCCUGAUCUUUUGUCUGAACACUGUGGAAUUUGUAGUCAGUCAUCUAGUUUCAAAUCCAGCUCCAUUUAUUCCCAGCUAAGUGACCUUGGCAAAUUACUUAAAUGCCCUGAUCCCUGCCUUCUUCAUCUUUGAAAGGGGAAGAAGAAGAAGAAGAAGCCCUUCUAAUUCUGUUGCUAGAACUACACUAAUGAAACUCUGGUCAGUAUGGGCUUAGCUCCAAUUGGAGACUUGCAGGUAUGGAUAACCCCAUACUUCUUCUGGAAGGAGUUUGGGGUUAAGCACUGGCCACUGACAAUCCAGAGUGCCUGGGCCACAUGGCCGUCCCUGAAACUGGCUUGCAACAGUCACGUGGAGGGACUUGGGAACUGGAAACUUGGGUUUGAACACUUAUCAAGGAGCCCUGGCCUGUGCUGUUGCCUGGACCUCCCUCUCUUCCUCCCAACCCUGCUGACCACAUCUUUCUGUCCCUAUGGUAGCAAGGAGGCAGGGGGAGAGAUAAGAUAAGGUCUCAAGUGUGUGAAUUUCCCCUGGGAAGGAACCCGAUAAAUAGCAUGGAACAAUUAGGAAGUUGCCAUCUGAUCUGAGAAACUAAAUUAUCUAAAGAAUCAUUUCCCCACCCACGACCCAUUAAAGGAGUUAAGAUCAUACUCCCCCUUUAUCCUUGUAAUUGGACUUGAAUGAAAGGUAGGAAUUACCUGAUCUCAGAUGACAUUCAAGAGACCCCCUAAUUUAUUGUAAUUAAUGGAAGAGUGGAGAUGCUAACUACCCAUGUUUUCCUCCCUCUCAGACUCAGUUCAAACCCCUCAGCCUUCAGGAAGUCAGUACUGACCUGUCCCACUUGGCCCCCUAACCUCUGUCUCCCCAGCAUCCAGGACUCUGUUUAUGCCACAUUCAUUUGCAAUCAGCCAUGGGUGUCUGUCAAUGGCUGCCCCAGUCUUUGUGGAUUACUCCAAGAGCUUCAUCUUCUCCUCCCUUUGGGAGUACCCCAGAACCCAGGACAGUGCCAUGCUCCCAACAAAUGUGUGGACCAUGGUGGGCCAUGGACUCUGAGGAGGUGUUCAGCCCACCUUGGUCUGGUACAGGGCCUCAGCCUCGGCCUUGCUCUUCAGGGCUAUUUCCUCAUACUGGGCGCGGACCUCAGUGAUGAUGCUGUCCAGGUCCAGGUUCCGGUUGUUGUCCAUGGACAGGAUGACAGAUGUGUCACUGAUAUGGGACUGGAUCUGAGCAAUCUCCUACAUGAGAAGGAAGGAAACAUGAAAUGCCAUUUGUGGAUGGAGGAAGGCCAAGGUGAUGACCCUUUCAUAGAGAGCCCCUAGACCCUCCCAAGUAGAGACAAGCUGUAUUCUCCAAAGCCCCCCAGCCCAGAUGUUUCAGCACCACAUCUGAAAACUGCUGAAUGAGUUGGAAGCAGCCCAAGAAGAAA
rnacentral:lncRNA from 1 species